CACGCACACGGACAACAGCGGAAGCUGUCGGAAGUGUUGUUGCCAAAUGACUUUUUAAAUACUUUGACUGGAGAAAAAAAGGGAAGAGCUGAAUUGUCGUCAGAUUAAUUAAAGACGGUCCAUCAAACACUCCCAACUUUCAUUGUGUUGACGUUCCGUGGUGCAGAAUUGAAGACCCCCCCCUGGCAGAAAUUCGAACCAGACAGGAGAAUUUGAGUGACAGUGAUGAGUGAUCCGUGGCAGGAGUGCCUGGAGCACUGCGUGGAGGUGGCCACACAGGCCGGCAAGGUGAUUCGCGAGGCCCUCAAGAGCGACAUUGCCGUUAUGCACAAAAGCUCGCAAGUGGACCUGGUGACCGAGACGGACCAGCGAGUGGAGCGGCUCAUCAUAUCCUCCAUCAAGGCAAAGUUCCCCACACACAGCUUCAUCGGCGAGGAGUCGGUGGCGGCGGGCGCCCCGAGCGUCCUGACCGACGACCCCACUUGGAUCAUCGACCCGAUCGACGGCACCACCAACUUCGUCCACGGCUUCCCCUUUGUGUGUGUAUCCAUCGGCUUCACAGUGAAGAAACAGAUAGAAUUCGGCGUGGUGUACAGUUGCAUCGAGGACAAAAUGUACACGGCGCGCAAAGGCAAGGGCGCCUUCUGCAACGGCGUUCCCAUCAAGGUCUCCGGGCAGGAAGAUCUCAGCCAAUGCCUGGUGCUGACCGAGGUUUGCUUCAAAAAGGACCCGCACCGGUUCGACGCCAUGAUGGCAAACCUCAGGAGCGUCCUGACCAUCCCCGUGCACGGCAUCCGCUCGCCGGGAAGCGCCGCCGUCAACAUGUGCCUGGUGGCGAGCGGCGCGGCAGACGCGUACUACCACGCGGGCAUCCACUGCUGGGACAUGGCCGGCGGCGCGGCGGUGGUCACGGAAGCCGGGGGAGUCGUCACCGACGUGUCAGGUGGGCCGUUCGAUUUGAUGUCCCGCCGGCUGAUCGCGGCCAGCAGCAGAGCGGUGGCCGAGCGCCUCACCAGGCACAUAACGGAGUUCAACGUCGGCAGGGACGACGCAGAUGGCUCGUAAACAUGUGAAAUGUGGCGCGUACACCCUGAGGAGUAGGUCUGCCGAGCAACCUACUAUUAGGCAUUUUAACAUUGGAUUUGCAUAAGACGCCGCACCGCAAGCCAUCUGUGUCUCUUCCCACAAUGCCAUCACUUCUCAAGGUAAAGCCCACGCAGCAGGUGACGGGGGACCCGUGACACAGGACGUCCCAUUUUGCCGUGGAAGUGGUGAGGAGAGCGGAUGGCCUCACAUUUACUGAUAAUAGCGCCACCUGUUGCUUUUCUGUGCACUUUGUCAGGUUUUCGUGUUCUUUAUCCCUUUAGCGGUGUAAAUUUAUUGUUAUCAUUCUCCUGCAUGUCUUCUGCUGGCCAAUUUGCACCAAUCGUCACCCUGUGCCCGCAGGCUGCACGGCUCUUGCACCUCCGCCGCCAACAUGUGCACGGCCUGCACUUGUCUGUAUUAUAUGUGUGUAUGUGUGUGCUUCUGAUUGGCUCAAAUUGCCUCACAAUUAAUAAAGGUUUUAGCUAGGGGUGCACCAAAUAAUUCUGGUCUGGUUUUCAAAUGAGCACCAGACCUCACUGCAUGAACGUCCAUCCGUUUGUAGACGUACAUCCAAUUCUUUAAUAACUUAGUUUCGAUACAAAUAAUGGAAAAAGAAACUAAAGGAAAAUCUGGGCUAUAUAAGUGCGCUUCAGACUUGUUGCUAUACUGUUAAAAAACAACAACUUAUUUUUGGGCUUAAAACUAAUCUAAGUUGGAAAAACUUUAAAAUAUACGCUAUUGGCAUUAUGGCAACAAUGUUAGUUAGCACAACAAAGCAAGCAAGUUGUUUGCUCCAAAACUAUUUCCCAGGUUGUUUUUGCUUAUUUUAAAGUUGAGGUUCAGUACAAGGGACAAAGUUCUAUAAACUCUUGUGAAAUGUGGGAAAGCAAACUUUCACAAACGCAAAAUCUAAACUAUUUAGUUGAAUUGCCCACUUUAAAAUUGUGAAAGUUUGUUGCCUUGAAAUUUUGAGUUGACCUCCCCUUUUCAUUUACGCACAUAUUCCGUCAUUCCUCUCCUUUCCAGCGCAUGCUUCCACCUUUCUCACUGCUCCUUCACCUGCUCGCUUUUUUCACUGCCGAUCACAAUGUCAUCUGAGGUCCAUGUGUAUUGCAGUCCUACCACAUCUGUCAGCCUAUCCAUCACUAUUGCAAAGAGGAGGGGGCUCAGACGUGAUCCCUGAUGCCGGCCCACCUCAACCACUCUUCUCCUGCCCUCACAUGACCAGUUCUAUUCUAACAUUCUUCUCUAUUGCGACAGCGAAGUGGCAUCGUGUUCUUGCAUGUUGUCCUGAAGGGUGUGAGGGUUUUUUUUUUUUUUUUACACUAGUGACUGAGUGAGGCGGUGCUAGUACUUUUCCUUCUUU